rnacentral:rRNA from 1 species
AUUGAACGCUGGCGGCAUGCUUUACACAUGCAAGUCGAACGGUAACAGGCCGCAAGGUGCUGACGAGUGGCGGACGGGUGCGUAAUGCAUCGGAACGUGCCCCGUCGUGGGGGAUAACUACUCGAAAGAGUAGCUAAUACCGCAUACGAUCUAUGGAUGAAAGCGGGGGACCGUAAUGCCUCGCGCGAUUGGAGCGGCCGAUGUCAGAUUAGGUAGUUGGUGGGGUAAAGGCUCACCAAGCCAACGAUCUGUAGCUGGUCUGAGAGGACGACCAGCCACACUGGGACUGAGACACGGCCCAGACUCCUACGGGAGGCAGCAGUGGGGAAUUUUGGACAAUGGGCGCAAGCCUGAUCCAGCAAUGCCGCGUGCAGGAAGAAGGCCUUCGGGUUGUAAACUGCUUUUGUACGGAACGAAACGGCUCUGGUUAAUACCCGGGGCUAAUGACGGUACCGUAAGAAUAAGCACCGGCUAACUACGUG